UUCCGUCAACUGGGAGGGGAGUAUGAAUUGGCCUGAAAAAAAAAUUCAGUCAGAAGAUAUUUUUUGCUUUAAUCCCUGCAUCACAGUUAUUUUGACCUGAUGAAAUGUUUGCCAUGUAAACAGGGGAAAACUGCCUGUCAUUUUCACAAAUAGAAUGAUUGUGUCAACAGGCCAGUUUUUCAACGCCUUAAAAUUUCAGGUUAAAUUUUAACACGUGUUAAAAUUUGACGCGUUGAGGUGUUUCAGGUGUGUGGGAAGCCAAGCGUAAAGGCACAUCACAAUCUCAUGAAUGUAACAGAGCACAUCAGCACGCUCAGGAAAUGUAGCGGUGACACAUGCCUUGAUGCUAUUUGCUAAUCUACUCACAAUUCCUGCGUUGCUAUUGGCCGAGCUACUUUUAAACGUGUUGAGGGGUAACAAUAUUGCCGUGUCAACAGGUCAAAAAUAACCGCAGUGAGACAUAUUUUUAAAGAUUUUGCAUCGAUGGUUUUCCAUAGACAAUGUACAACACGAGCAGAUGACUGAUUAUCUUUAAUGAAGUGUUUGUGUCCCCCAAUAUUCAGAACAAGUUUAUUUUUUCAUGAUUUUAUGUUCAUAAGUGGUAUUAUGUAACAUAAUAUGUCAAAUUCUCAGGAGUGUUCACAUUUCAGCCAGUUUCAGAUAUGUAUUUAACCAGGUUCAGCUGAGAUUUUAAUUGUGUUUUAAUCAUGGUAAUGUCAUGUAUGUAUUUGUAAUGUAUUACCUUGUGUCCUGGUGUGGAGGACCUUAUAAUGGUAAUAUUGGUUCCUUUUAACAGAGUAACAUUUUUUUUUAAUUGAAUAAUAUGUAUUUAUGUCUUAAUUGUAUGAUUUGCGGUACGUGUGCGGUGUUAAUAAUUUGAUUAUUUAAUUAAUUAUGCGCAGAGCACUAAACUGAGAGAGUCAGGCGUGUAGUGUGUAAUCUGAGGUUAAAGAGCAGCCGGAGUGGGUGCAGGUAGUGUGUUGUGUAGGAUGGUGUUUGCGAUGUGACUGUUGUGCUUCUUGUAGCUGCAGGGGAAUCGGAGGCCGUGUCGGGAUCACCGAUCUCCCCCUUGCGCUCCCCCGAUGCGCUCCCCCUUCCCCUGGAGGUGGCCGCCGGGGCCUUCACAGGGAUCCAGGCCUCCUCCUUCUACAGAUCGGAGAGAGGCAGCAGCGCGCGGAAGACUCCCUCCGCCCCGUCUCUGAGCCGCCUCCAGGCCGUCCCUACCCCCGUCCUGAGUCCCCUCCACCCCCUCCGGAGCGCCUCGCCUCCUCUCCUGACCUCCACGGCCCUGGAGCCCUCUGUCCCAAACUCGCCCUUUCUGGAGGACUCGCUGGGCCUGCCAGCCUGUCUGGAUUCCUUCAAGAGCAGCUCCUCACAGUCCAUCCCGCUGCCGAAGCUGCCAUCUUCCAAUGAACAGUUCAAAGAGCAUA